rnacentral:sRNA from 1 species
CCGUCAUGGCGGUGUCGGAGAGCCAGCUCAAGAAAAUGGUGUCGAAGUUUUUAAUGAUGGCAGUUCCAGGGAACUAAUGAACCUCACUGGAACAAUCCCUGUGCCUUAUAGAGCCACAGUCAGACUUGUUGGGGCUUAUUCAGGUCAUGAUUGUGGUAUUUGGAGAUGAACCUCCAGUCUUCUCUCGUCCUGUUUCGGCAUCCUAUCCGCCAUACCAGGCAACGGGGCCACCAAAUACUUCCUACAUGCCAGGCAUGCCAGGUGGAAUCUCUCCAUACCCAUCCGGAUACCCUCCCAAUCCCAG